UAGGGAAUAUUGCUCAAUGGGCGAAAGCCUGAAGCAGCAACGCCGCGUGGAGGAUGACACUUUUCGGAGCGUAAACUCCUUUUCUUGGGGAAGAAAUUUGACGGUACCUAAGGAAUAAGCACCGGCUAACUCCGUGCCAGCAGCCGCGGUAAUACGGAGGGUGCAAGCGUUACUCGGAAUCACUGGGCGUAAAGGACGCGUAGGCGGAUUAUCAAGUCUUUUGUGAAAUCUAAUGGCUUAACCAUUAAACUGCUUGAGAAACUGAUAAUCUAGAGUGAGGGAGAGGCAGAUGGAAUUGGUGGUGUAGGGUAAAUGCGUAGAUAUUUCGCAGAACGCCGAUUGCGAAGGCAGCCGCCCAGGGACGCACUGACGCUGA
rnacentral:rRNA from 1 species